CCCACUGAUGCAAAUAUUUCAUGUCCAAGGGCAAUAACUCCAACAUUUCUUUUAUUGUUCUUUCAUUUUUUUCGUAAAUAUUGUAAAAGAAAUGUAGGUGUGAGAUUCCUUACAAUGCAAAUCUCUAUAUAAUCAGUGCUGAUAAAUAAACUUGUCCAAGAUCUUGCUGAUAUGAAAAUUUAUAAUUAACUUCUUAAUCAAAGUGCAAAAAUGCUGGAAAAGGUAUUUCUUGUAUAAUAAGCAAUAUGUGCAGGAGUUCCCCUUUUUUGGAACAAGUACAAAAUUAUCCCCAUUUAUCAGUUAUGUUAAAACACUUUUCCAUUAUGAAAUAUAAAAUACAAUGAUUAACUUUUACUUUAGGCAGUCAAAAGAAAUGUGGUAUUGUUAAUCAGAUUUCAUUUAUAAUUCAUAAUCAUAUUGAAAUUUCCAUUCUUUAUUUAUUAUCUCACACUUCAAGUAUUAUGGUCAAUUCCUGUGGAAUUACAAGUUUGUGUCAUCAAAAUUAUUUCAAUUUUAAUUUGUCAUGUCUGUUGCUUUCCACCAGCUGCUUUCCACAAAUCAUUAUCAACAUAAAACAAGUCUUGCAAUAAUCCAUAUUUAUGUAUAAUCAGCACACCCUUUUACGCCACAGGAAUUCAGGAAAAAACUGUUAAGAAAUUUGGUGAAACUUGAAAGUUGUAUGCAGUUUUCUGCUAUAAUUUGUGGUAAUUAAUCUAUUUUUGAUUAAGGCCUUAGCUCUUGAAUUGAGAAAGGUGACAUGCUAACGAAGACCAAAUUGAAAACUCUUCAUAAGCUUUGUUAUUCUUUAGAGACCAUUAAAAUUUAACAUUAUUUUAAUAAGAUCAGUGAUCAUUGUCAAGUAUUCAGUCCCACUGAUGAUGACCGAUCCUGUCCUCCAUCCUUUAUAAACCACAGACUCAGAAUUUUAUCAGUUGGAACCACCUGACCCUUAUUGCAUAUUCACUGGCAUUAGAGCCGGGGAGCCAGGAGUAUCCCCCCCUCCUUUUUGAACAUUUUUUUUAUUGAAAAUAAUAAAGAAAGAGGACACUGACUAACUUCUAGACUAUAAGACUAUAAGACUAUAUAGAUAUUAACAGUUAGAGAAACAUUGUGAAAAUAAUUUUUUGUCAUGUUUUGAUUUAUAUGAAUACAAUUUUAGUGCAUUUUCAUCUUUUCCUUUUUUAAAUAAUGUGACUUGUUUGGAAAAUUACAACAAAUUUUUUAUAUUUAAAAUAUAUAUAUAAAAAUUUUUGCUUGUUUCUUUCAGAAGUCCCCCCCCCCUUUUGUCUACUCCUACAUGUAAUUGUAAGUCACUGAUCAUGUUGAUCUUAGCUAUGAUUCAUUGUGAUAUUGGUCAAUUAAUCCUAAUUUGAAAUUUAAGCUAAAAUAAAUUGCUUCGCCGAGCGCAGCUGGAUACGACUGCAGAGGUCCAACCCUGAACAGUUGGGGCAAAAAUGGACACAAUAUUAGCGCUUGAUACAGGUCUGAAUUUGGAUUGUAAUUAAAUAUUUGACACAUAAUAGGUUUCUGACACAGAAUUACUGUAGUCAAAGAACUUAGAAUUGGUUAUAUGAUUUGAAUUUUAUUCAAUUUUUUGCUUUCGUGCAAUACACUAUGCUGUUGCAAAAAUCAUCAUUUUUAAAAUUAUUAAAAUAGUAACUUCUAAUAAAAUGCUCCGCAGGGCGCAGCUUGAUACGACCGCAGAGGUCGAACCCUGAACAGUUGGGGCAAGUAUGGACACAACAUUCAAGCUUGGUACAGCUUUGCAUUUGGAUUGUGAUUAAAUAUUUGACACAGCAUAGGUUUCUGACACAGAAUGAAUGUGGUCUAAGAACUUAAAAAUUUUAAAUUGGACAUUCACCUAUUAUGGUCCAAUAUCCAAAAUCUAAAUACAUCGUUAGAUUCAGCAUAUCAAAGAACCCCAAGAAUUCAAUUUUUGAUGAAAUCAAACAAAGUUUAAUUUUGGACCCUUUUGACCUCAAUGUGGACAAAGUUGAUAACGGGGCCCAAAAAUCAAAAAUCUAAAUACAUGGUUAGAUUCAGCAUAUCAAAGAACCCCAUAUAUUCAAUUUUUGUUGAAAUCAAACAAAGUUUAAUUUUGGACCCCGAUUUGGACCAACUUGAAAACUGGGCCCAUAAUCAAAAAUCUAAAUACAUGUUUAGAUUCAGCAUAUCAAAGAACCCUAAGAAUUCAAUUUUUGUUAAAAUCAAACUAAGUUUAAUUUUGGACCCUUUGGACCUUAAUAUAGACCAAUUUGAAAACGGAACCAAAAAUUAAGAAUCUAAAUACACGGUUAGAUUCGGCAUAUCAAAGAACCCCAAUAAUUCAAUUUUUGAUGAAAUCAAACAAAGUUUAAUUUUGGACCCUUUGGACCUCAAUGUGGACCAAUUUAAAAACGGGGUCCAAAAUCCAAAAACUAAAUACACGGUUAGAUUCAGCAUAUUAAAAAACCCCAAGAACUCAAGAAUAAAACCCCAUUGAAAUUGGUCAAGAAAUAAGCAAUUUAUACGAAGUAUCUUCUUUUGCACAAUACUGUGCAAUUCAAUAUUUCUUGUUAUUGCGCAAUACUGUACAAUUGACAAUUUCUUGCUAUUGCGCAAAAUUGUGCCAUUGGAUAUUUCUUGCUAUUGCGCAAUACUGUGCAAUUGAAGAUUUCUUGCUAUUGCGCAAUAUUGUGCAAUUGAAGAUUUCUUGCUAUUGUGCAAUACUGUGCAAUUGAAAAUUUCUUGCUAUUGCACAAUACUUAUUAUAUAAUAAUUUACACAUCCUGUUUGGUGUGUAUCUCCUACCAUAUCAUUAAUAUUUGCUUUUAAAUAUAAAUCAGAAAUAACCAACUUAAAAUGGAAAAUUUUAAAAGAAAAAAAGAGGAAAAAAAGAAAAACAAGAGUGCACACGCUGAAAUGUCUCGCCUUCUUUACUAAUCAUUGAUAUUAUGUUGAUAGUCCUAAAUAUAAAGCUUUAUUACAACUGUCACAUAAACUUAACAUUAACCAAGUAAACUAAACAUUGACCAAUGAACCAUGAAAAUGAGGUCAAGGUCAGAUGAACCAUGCUAGGCAGGCAUGUACAGCUAACAAUUCUUCCAUACAACAAAUAUAGUUGACCUAUUGCUUAUAGUUUAAGAAAAACAGACGAAAACACAAAAACUUAACACUGAGCAAUGAACCUUGAAAAUGAGGUCAAGGUCAAAUAAAACCUGCGUGACUGACAUAUAGAUCAUAAAAUAUUUCCAUACACCAAAUAUAGUUGAACUAUUGCAUAUAGUAUUAGAAAAAAAGACCAAAACUCAAAAACUUAACUUUGACCACUGAACCAUGAAAAUGAGGUCAAGGUAAGAUGACACCUGCCAGCUAGACAUGUACACCUUACAAUCAUUCCAUACACCAAAUAUAGCUGACCUAUUGCAUGCAGUAUUAGAAAAAAAGACCAAAACUCAAAAACUUAACUUUGACCACUGAACCAUGAAAAUGAGGUCAAGGUAAGAUGACACCUGCCAGCUAGACAUGUACACCUUACAAUCAUUCCAUACACCAAAUAUAGCUGACCUAUUGCAUGCAGUAUUAGAAAAAAAGACCAAAACUCAAAAACUUAACUUUGACCACUGAACCAUGAAAAUGAGGUCAAGGUAAGAUGACACCUGCCAGCUAGACAUGUACACCUUACAAUCAUUCCAUACACCAAAUAUAGUAGACCUAUUGCAUACAGUAUAAGAAAAACAGACCAAAACACAAAAACUUAACUAUAACCACUGAACCAUGAAAAUGAGGUCAAGGUCAGAUGACACCUGCCAGUUGGACAUGUACACCUUACAGUCCUUCCAUACACCGAAUAUACUAGACCUAUUGCUUAUAGUAUCUGAGAUAUGGACUUGACCACGAAAACUUAACCUUGUUCACUGAUCCAUGAAAUGAGGUCGAGGUCAAGUGAAAACUGUCUGACGGGCAUGAGGACCUUGCAAGGUACGCACAUACCAAAUAUAGUUAUCCUAUUACUUAUAAUAAGAGAGAAUUUAACAUUACAAAAAAUCUGAACUUUUUUUUCAAGUAGUCACUGAACCAUGAAAAUGAGGUCAAGGACAUUGGACAUGUGACUGACGGAAACUUCGUAACAUGAGGCAUCCAUAUACAAAGUAUGAAGCAUCCAGGUCUUCCAUCUUCUAAAAUAUAAAGCUUUUAAGAAGUUAGCUAACGCCGCCGCCGCCGCCGGAUCGCUAUCCCUAUGUCGAGCUUUCUGCGACAAAAGUCGCAGGCUCGACAAAAAUCUAAAUACAUGGUUAGAUUCAGCAUAUCAAAGAACCUCAUAUAUUCAAUUUCUGUUGAAAUUAAACAAAGUUUAAUUUUGGACCCCAAUUUGGACCAACUUGAAAACUGGGCCCAUAAUCAAAAAUCUAAAUACAUGUUUAGAUUCAGCAUAUCAAAGAACCCCAUAUAUUAAAUUUUUGUUGAAAUCAAACAAAGUUUAAAUACUGGACCCUAUCUUGGACCAACUUGAAAACUGGGCCCAUAAUCAAAAAUCUAAACACAUGUUUAGAUUCAGCAAAUCAAAGAACCCCAAGAAUUCAAUUUUUGUCAAAAUCAAACUAAGUUUAAUUUUGGACCCUUUGGACCUCAAUGUAGACCAAUUUAAAAAACAGGACCCAAAAUUAAAAACCUAAAUACACGGUUAGAUUUGGAAUAUCAAAGAACCCCAAUAAUUCAAUUUUAGAUGAAAUCAAACAAAGUUUAAUUUUGGACCCUUUUGACCUCAAUAUGAACCAAUUAGAUAACGGGGUCCACAAAUAAAAAAUCUAAAUACAUGGUUAGAUUCAGCAUAUCAAAGAACCCCAUAUAUUCAAUUUUUGUUGAAAUCAAACAAAGUUUAAUUUUGGACCCCAAUUUGGACCAACUUGAAAACUGGGCCAAAAACCAAAAAUCUAAAUACAUGUUUAGAUUCAGCAUAUCAAAGAACCUCAUAUAUUCAAUUUUUGCUAAAAUCAAACAAAGUUUAAUUUUGGACCCUUUGGACAUUAAUGUAGACCAAUUUGAAAACUGGACCCAAAAUUAAAAAUCUAAAUACACUGUUAGAUUCGGCAUAACAAAUAAAUAAAUGUGAUCAAAGAUUUUACAAAUCUAAUGCGCCAUACUGUGCAAUUAAAGAUUACUUCUUGAAAUUUUUCAAUAUUUGAAAUUUGAAAAAAAAAUAAUAUUUGAAGAAUAAUUCUUUUUAAUUUCUGAAAUCUGAAAUGAGAAAAAAUUGGCCCCCCC